UGUGCUAAGGUAGCAUAAUCACUAGUCUAUUAAUUGUAAACUCGAAUGAACGAUUUGACGAGAAAACUCCUGUCUUUAUUUAAUUUUUUAACUUUAUUUAAAGGUAAAAAAGCCUUUGAAUUAUAAAAAGACGACAAGACCCUAGAAUCUACUAUAUUGCUCUAAAAUACCUCUAAUACUUUAAGUAGCGUACGUUAGUUUACUGGGGCGGUAUAAAUUUUUUUCAAUUUAAAAAUCUACGUUCUGAACGAGUUAUAUUCAACCUACCUGUAAACAAUUAGAUACUCUAGGGAUAACAGCACAAUUUACCUCUAGUGCCCUUAUCGAUAGAUAAUUUGUGACCUCGAUGUUGAAUUAGCUCUACUUAAUUUAAGCAG
rnacentral:rRNA from 1 species